UCAGCAGGUCGCCUUAUCGCUCUGUUGUUUUAUUACCACAGGGAGGAAAGUCCGGACACCACAGUGCAGUAUAGCGGGUAACACCCGUCACCCUGAAGUUCUCAUACUUUAAGGUAGGACAAGUGCAACAGAAAGCAAGUACAGGUAAUGCUGUAGUGAAAUCAGGUAAACUCUAUACGGUGAAACGUCAUGUAUACCGGCGAUUAAGGGUAGCACGCCCAAGCCGAAGGGUAGGCGGAUAGAGCCUUUGGGUAACCAGGGGCCCAGAUAAAUGAUAAGGGACUGUAUUUUGCGAUACAGCUUACAGAAUCCGGCUUAUGGCCUGCUUUUUAC
rnacentral:RNase_P_RNA from 1 species